rnacentral:rRNA from 1 species
CCAAUAGCGUAUAUUAAAGUUGCUGCAGUUAAAAAGCUCGUAGUUGAAUUUCGGGACUAAUAUGUCGGUCGUGCCUCGGUACGUACUGGUAUUUUUGGUUUCUCCCUUCUGACGAACCUUGAUGUCAUUAAUUUGGUGUCUUGGGAAAUCAGGACUGUUACUUUGAAAAAAUUAGUGUGUUUAAAGCAGGCUCACGCUUGAAUACAUUAGCAUGGAAUAAUUAAAUAGGACGUUUGAUUCUAUUUUGUUGGUUUCUAGGAUUGACGUAAUGAUUAAUAGGGAUAGUUGGGGGCAUUAGUAUUCAAUUGUCAGAGGUGAAAUUCUUGAAUUUAUUGAAGACUAACUACUGCGAAAGCAUUUGCCAAGGAUGUUUUCAUUAAUCAAGAACGAAAGUUAGGGGAUCGAAGACGAUCAGAUACCGUCGUAGUCUUAACCAUAAACUAUGCCGACUAGGGAUCGGAUGAUGUUAAUUUUUUAAUGACUCAUUCGGCGCCCUACG